GAUUUCGUAGCUCAGCUGGAAGAGCAUCUCACUUUUAAUGAGAGGGUCGUGGGUUCGAGCCCCACCGGAAUCA
rnacentral:tRNA from 1 species